rnacentral:rRNA from 1 species
UGCGGAGGGAUCAUUACUGAGUGAGGGCCUUCGGGCUCGACCUCCAACCCUUUGUGAACACAACUUGUUGCUUCGGGGGCGACCCUGCCGUUUCGACGGCGAGCGCCCCCGGAGGCCUUCAAACACUGCAUCUUUGCGUCGGAGUUUAAGUAAAUUAAACAAAACUUUCAACAACGGAUCUCUUGGUUCUGGCAUCGAUGAAGAACGCAGCGAAAUGCGAUAAGUAAUGUGAAUUGCAGAAUUCAGUGAAUCAUCGAAUCUUUGAACGCACAUUGCGCCCCUUGGUAUUCCGAGGGGCAUGCCUGUUCGAGCGUCAUUUCACCACUCAAGCCUCGCUUGGUAUUGGGCGCCGCGGUGUUCCGCGCGCCUCAAAGUCUCCGGCUGAGCUGUCCGUCUCUAAGCGUUGUGAUUUCAUUAAUCGCUUCGGAGCGCGGGCGGUCGCGGCCGUUAAAUCUUUCACAAGGUUGACCUCGGAUCAGGUAGGGA